GCCUCCGUAGCAUAGUGGUAGUGCGCCUGACUUGUAAUCAGGCGGUCGUGAGUUCAAAUCUCACCGGAGGCU
rnacentral:tRNA from 1 species